rnacentral:rRNA from 1 species
UUGCUACAGGCUUAACACAUGCAAGUCGAGGAGCAGCAUUUUAGUUUGCUUGCAAACUGAAGAUGGCGACCGGCGCACGGGUGAGUAACACGUAUCCAACCUGCCGAUAACUCCGGAAUAGCCUUUCGAAAGAAAGAUUAAUACCGGAUAGCAUACGAAUAUCGCAUGAUAUUUUUAUUAAAGAAUUUCGGUUAUCGAUGGGGAUGCGUUCCAUUAGUUUGUUGGCGGGGUAACGGCCCACCAAGACAACGAUGGAUAGGGGUUCUGAGAGGAAGGUCCCCCACAUUGGAACUGAGACACGGUCCAAACUCCUACGGGAGGCAGCAGUGAGGAAUAUUGGUCAAUGGGCGAGAGCCUGAACCAGCCAAGUAGCGUGAAGGAUGAAGGCUCUAUGGGUCGUAAACUUCUUUUAUAUGGGAAUAAAGUUUUCCACGUGUGGAAUUUUGUAUGUACCAUAUGAAUAAGGAUCGGCUAACUCCGUGCCAGCAGCCGCGGUAAUACGGAGGAUCCGAGCGUUAUCCGGAUUUAUUGGGUUUAAAGGGAGCGUAGGUGGAUUGUUAAGUCAGUUGUGAAAGUUUGCGGCUCAACCGUAAAAUUGCAGUUGAAACUGGCAGUCUUGAGUACAGUAGAGGUGGGCGGAAUUCGUGGUGUAGCGGUGAAAUGCUUAGAUAUCACGAAGAACUCCGAUUGCGAAGGCAGCUCACUAGACUGUCACUGACACUGAUGCUCGAAAGUGUGGGUAUCAAACAGGAUUAGAUACCCUGGUAGUCCACACAGUAAACGAUGAAUACUCGCUGUUUGCGAUAUACAGUAAGCGGCCAAGCGAAAGCAUUAAGUAUUCCACCUGGGGAGUACGCCGGCAACGGUGAAACUCAAAGGAAUUGACGGGGGCCCGCACAAGCGGAGGAACAUGUGGUUUAAUUCGAUGAUACGCGAGGAACCUUACCCGGGCUUAAAUUGCAACAGAAUAUAUUGGAAACAGUAUAGCCGUAAGGCUGUUGUGAAGGUGCUGCAUGGUUGUCGUCAGCUCGUGCCGUGAGGUGUCGGCUUAAGUGCCAUAACGAGCGCAACCCUUAUCUUUAGUUACUAACAGGUUAUGCUGAGGACUCUAGAGAGACUGCCGUCGUAAGAUGUGAGGAAGGUGGGGAUGACGUCAAAUCAGCACGGCCCUUACGUCCGGGGCUACACACGUGUUACAAUGGGGGGUACAGAAGGCGGCUACCUGGUGACAGGAUGCUAAUCCCAAAAACCUCUCUCAGUUCGGAUCGAAGUCUGCAACCCGACUUCGUGAAGCUGGAUUCGCUAGUAAUCGCGCAUCAGCCAUGGCGCGGUGAAUACGUUCCCGGGCCUUGUACACACCGCCCGUCAAGCCAUGAAAGCCGGGGGUACCUGAAGUACGUAACCGCAAGGAGCGUCCUAGGGUAAAACUGGUAAUUGGG